rnacentral:ncRNA from 2 species
CCAUACGUCUGAAUAAGGUGCCGAAAUGUACUAUCACUGAUACCAUAAAGGGAGUCCAUGUAUUUAGACAGCAGGUCGGUGCCCCUAAAAGCAGGUAUCCGCUAAAGAGUGUGUUAAAACUCACCUGCCGAAUACUAGGGCCCCGAAAAUGAAUGGCGCAUAUAGUACUACCGAUCUCAGACAUCAGUUCUAUUGAACUGAGAGUAGGGGGAUGUGGACAUUUUUGUGAAGGUGCAAUGUGAGUUGGACUGGAAGAAUGUCUAUUACAGAUCCUAAUUGAAGUAGCGAUUAUCCAGGCUUGUAUCCUGGGGGCUGAUGAGGAGUAGGGUUUCUGGACAACUUAAACAGAUCCAGAGUUAGUCGAUCCUAAUCUCAAUAAUGGGAGAAAGGGAGUACAGUUGAUAUUCUGUAACUGACAACAGUUCGCGGCAACGCAUACUAUUUUUCUCCGCCAAUCUUAUACCGUUGGUAGGGAUCUCUUUCCUACAUGACAGUACUAAUACCCAGGGAAACUGGUCAUCAGGCGAACUGCGGCGUUCUGCUGGCAAAACAUAGCUUCGGUUAUGUCAAUGGCUAUUGGAUUGGUCCAUGAAGCGAAAAAUAGUUUACUGUGUCACUCGUACCGAUAACCGCAUCAGGUCUUCUAGGUAAGUAGCCUAUGGCCAUUGAGGCAUGAUAGUUCAGGGAAUUCGGCCAAUUAGAGCUGUAACUUCGGGAUAAAGCUUGGCUCUGAUGAAAAUCAGAACCGAUUGUUACGCGGAGAGCCCAACUGUUUAAUAAAAACGUAGUGUCGCGCUGUGGUAGUAUAGCCAGUGAACGCGACAUGAAUCCUGCUCAGUGCUGUGUCUGUUAAUAUGGUUCAAGCCAACGAAGCACCGGUAAAUAGCUGGGGUAACUAUGACUCUUAUCAAAGUAGCGAAAUACCUCGUCACUUAAUUAGUGACCUGCAUGAACGGAGCUAUGAGGUUCUCACUGUCCCAAACUGUCUCUCAGCGACCAACUGUAGUGGGAACGGUCACUAGAUAUCCAGCGGGGAAGAAGACCCUGUAGAGCUUCACUUUGGUCUAGUCUUGUAUAGUUCCUGCGGGGGUUGUAAACUA